CUUUUACAAUGAAGAGUUUGAUCCUGGCUCAGGAUGAACGCUAGCUACAGGCUUAACACAUGCAAGUCGAGGGGCAGCAUUUCAGUUUGCUUGCAAACUGGAGAUGGCGACCGGCGCACGGGUGAGUAACACGUAUCCAACCUGCCGAUAACUCGGGGAUAGCCUUUCGAAAGAAAGAUUAAUACCCGAUGGUAUAAUCAGACCGCAUGGUUUGAUUAUUAAAGAAUUUCGGUUAUCGAUGGGGAUGCGUUCCAUUAGGCAGUUGGUGAGGUAACGGCUCACCAAACCUUCGAUGGAUAGGGGUUCUGAGAGGAAGGUCCCCCACAUUGGAACUGAGACACGGUCCAAACUCCUACGGGAGGCAGCAGUGAGGAAUAUUGGUCAAUGGGCGCAGGCCUGAACCAGCCAAGUAGCGUGAAGGAUGACUGCCCUAUGGGUUGUAAACUUCUUUUAUAUGGGAAUAAAGUUUUCCACGUGUGGAAUUUUGUAUGUACCAUAUGAAUAAGGAUCGGCUAACUCCGUGCCAGCAGCCGCGGUAAUACGGAGGAUCCGAGCGUUAUCCGGAUUUAUUGGGUUUAAAGGGAGCGUAGGUGGACAGUUAAGUCAGUUGUGAAAGUUUGCGGCUCAACCGUAAAAUUGCAGUUGAUACUGGCUGUCUUGAGUACAGUAGAGGUGGGCGGAAUUCGUGGUGUAGCGGUGAAAUGCUUAGAUAUCACGAAGAACUCCGAUUGCGAAGGCAGCUCACUGGACUGCAACUGACACUGAUGCUCGAAAGUGUGGGUAUCAAACAGGAUUAGAUACCCUGGUAGUCCACACAGUAAACGAUGAAUACUCGCUGUUUGCGAUAUACAGUAAGCGGCCAAGCGAAAGCAUUAAGUAUUCCACCUGGGGAGUACGCCGGCAACGGUGAAACUCAAAGGAAUUGACGGGGGCCCGCACAAGCGGAGGAACAUGUGGUUUAAUUCGAUGAUACGCGAGGAACCUUACCCGGGCUUAAAUUGCAUUUGAAUAUAUUGGAAACAGUAUAGCCGUAAGGCAAAUGUGAAGGUGCUGCAUGGUUGUCGUCAGCUCGUGCCGUGAGGUGUCGGCUUAAGUGCCAUAACGAGCGCAACCCUUAUCUUUAGUUACUAACAGGUCAUGCUGAGGACUCUAGAGAGACUGCCGUCGUAAGAUGUGAGGAAGGUGGGGAUGACGUCAAAUCAGCACGGCCCUUACGUCCGGGGCUACACACGUGUUACAAUGGGGGGUACAGAAGGCAGCUACCUGGUGACAGGAUGCUAAUCCCAAAAGCCUCUCUCAGUUCGGAUCGAAGUCUGCAACCCGACUUCGUGAAGCUGGAUUCGCUAGUAAUCGCGCAUCAGCCAUGGCGCGGUGAAUACGUUCCCGGGCCUUGUACACACCGCCCGUCAAGCCAUGAAAGCCGGGGGUACCUGAAGUACGUAACCGCAAGGAGCGUCCUAGGGUAAAACUGGUAAUUGGGGC
rnacentral:rRNA from 1 species